rnacentral:tRNA from 1 species
GGGCCUAUGGCUUAAUGGAUAAAGCGCCGGUCUACGGAACCGGGAUUCCAGGUUCGAUCCCUGGUAGGCUCG